CCCCAGCGGCCCCCCGCGCCAGCCCGGCUCAAUGCCCACUAGUGCCUUCAUGAGGCUAAGAGCACACGCCUAGACCCAAUGAGCUCUUCAAGAUUUCCUGAACCAAAGCAAUGAAUGUGAUAUUCUAAAUUAUAGAUUCCCUGAUAUUAUCUUCAAUUUGAAGAUUUCAAAGAUUUGGUAGAUGACUUAAGAAGUUGUAAUGAGGGAAGCCAACAAUCCUGGACGUAGUACAUAUUGUUUUAACUAAUAUUCAAAUUUAGUAUUUUUCCCCUAUUUGGUAUCAGCAUCUGAGUGUUUAUAAAUAAUGUUUAGGCAACCUGAUCUGUACGAUGAGUCUCCUGGUAGCUCUGACUACAGUACAGGAUCAACUCUCCUGUUGCAUUCAGCUGCUAACAAACUGGAACAAGCACAUGCUGAGAUAUGUUCACUGCAUCAGGAUACUGGAACUGGGUCAGAAUCAAUUCAUAUUGAAGGGCAAAAGGAUGUUGGCGAAUGUGAGAUGGGGUUAUUUCUGGUGCAACUCCAAAGCAAGGGAUUUUCUUGUGUUGUGAUGAACAACCAAACAAUGAUGGAGUUGUUUGUGUCUCACCAAGUACAGACUUUGGUUCCCCUCUUCAAGUAACCCCACUUUUCAGAUCAUUAGCAGCAGGAAUUCCUAGCCCCAAAUUUUCAGAAAGUGUAAGUUAUCCUAAAACUAUGAUUCUAACAAUACAAUGCCGGUGGUGGUAUGGCAUUUCGUAGCAGCAGUAGAAAGAAGUCUCAAUAAUUCAUUUAGUAAUAGUAGUAAAACUUGCAAGGUUGUCAACUUUCAAGCUGACUGCAGAAAAAUUGACAGUAGUAGUAAUGGUCUGUGGCUUAUUGAGUAGUGUAGGGGUAGAAGUGAAGGCUGGAGAAAGAUAAGAGUCUAUUGAUUCUCAUCAGCUGGAAUUUAUAGUCACUAUAUAGCCAUUAUAAAGAAUUAAUAAGGAUUUAAGACUAAUUAUAAGCCAAACAAUUUAAGUUUAUCUUUUGUCAAGGAAAGGGAACAAAAAGAGUUAGGAAGACCUAAAAUAACACUAGUAGCCAAUGAGCUAUCAUAAUAAUGGGCUGGAGGGUUGACUAGGUGAGGUUGUGGGUUCAAGACCUAGUGGGUGCAUAUGUAGUUCAUCAAUAAAGGACAUUUUAAUUAAGGAGGUGACAGAGUAUGAUUUUAUAUAGGAGAGAAUAGUGAAAAAGAAUACAUGUGAAUGAUUCCAAUUAGUUUGUUAAGGAUCUACUACCGACCUCAUAGUUUUGGGACUAGGGCUUUGUUGUUGUUGUUUUUUCAAGUGAAUGGUGGUUGUGGUAUUUUGUGCAAUUAGAGAUGGCAACGAUGGUUAAAGUUUCUGAACACAAAUAUCAAGCACAAGUAGAACUUUUGACUAUUAAUGAUAAAGCCAUAUAUUGGACUGUAAAUAUAGUAUUAGAAGUUGCAGUAUUUAUUAAGAAUGCAACCAAUGAUACUAGUCUAGCAGUAGCAGAUGGAAUACCUUGCUUCUGGGGCCAUAAAAAGAGGAAAAAGGGGUUGGGGUGGGCACAUGAAAAUUGGGAAGGACUAUCUAUGCAAAACAGAACUCAACUAAGAAAUCAUAGUGACUUGGAUGAAAUCAACUAAAAUAGUUGCAACUUGCUUUUCUUUACUUAGUAGGCAUCUUUGAUGAUUAAUAAUUGCAAAUUCUUUAAAAUGAAGCUAAUCAGAUAGCUAGGGUUCAAGGGAUACUCCUGUAGUUCCAGCUCAUCUUGUAGUGCCUUGGCAAUGGGGUUUGAACCCCACCAGCCCCCUCCCCCUAUUUUACCUAUCAAAAAAAUAAUUAAAUGAUCAGAGAGCUGCUGCAGAAUGAGGAUGUAUAUCACAUUAAUAAGUCCAAAAUGUGUAAUACAAGAUUUUGGUAAAAUCUAGCCAAUGGCAAUGCACGGAUGAGCCUAACAGAAAAUAGAAAUAAAAAGAGAAAAAACAUUGAGAUUGCUUGUUAAUUAUACCGGACUAUAAACCCUGUUGACACAUCAUAAAUAAGAACUCUAGAUUUUUAACCUUGACCAAAAUUUUAAGUGCUGCAUUAUGCUUUGAAUUAUUUGAUGCAUCAAAAUUUGAUGGAAAAUUGAAGUUAUAUGACAAUAUUAUAAAGCAAGAUAGUGUAAGAUGUUCCACUCUCCACUGAAAUAAAACAAACUCUGUUACCCCUAUUAUAAUCCUUUCAGAAAAUCUUAGAGCCAGCUUGUGGGCUUUUUAUGCCUCUUCUUCUAUAUUUCUGUAUCCUAUUGUGGCCAUAACUCUCUACCUUUUUUUCAUACGUUCAACUUUACUGUUGUCUAGCAACAAAUCAAGCAAAUACUAAAGAUGGCAUAAAUGCAUAGCAUUAUGUUUAAAAGGAAAAAUGGGGUUCAAGUGACACCCCUGUGGUUCUGGCCCCUCUUGUGGUGGUGGGCACUGGGGUUUGAUACCACCAGCCCUUAUUUACCUAGCAAAAAAAUAAAAGUUUAAAAGGAAAAAUAUCAUGGCAGAAACUUAAGUUUUUAUAUCUGAGCAACUGCCAAAAUGCUCCCAAGUACUUAAGAGUCAUCAUUGCUUCUGUAGAAGCCUUCAUCUUAGUGUGAUAUCUUGUCUAGGUUAUGCAUAUAUUUGAAGAGGCAUUAAUUAGUCUACUUCGCAACAACUUAAAAUUGCGAUGAUCAGUUGUUUACAUUUAGCUGAGAGCUUAAUUCACCACUAUUCCUGGAUAACGCUCUUUGCACAUUGGUAUGUUAGUCAAGGAUAAGAUAUCAAACUCAAUAAAUGGGUCAUAUGAAUUUUCUAGUGCAAGCGAUGCCCCUUCCAUGCAUAGAUAAUUUCCUUUGUUUUCACAAUAAGGGGCUGGAGAACAGGAGAAGCUAAAAGAAAAGAUCAAUUAGAGUUGCCCUUAUAAUUUACUUCUAUGUAUUGUGUGUGUCAGAAUUUGAUCAAAGACUUACCACUUACUUUGUUGCAUUUUUUAAGGAACGGAGCUUCCUACUAAAAACACUUGGAAUGGAGUCCCCUUGCCCCAACCCAAGUGCCAAUCUUUUUCGACCACCAACCUGCAAAAGAGCCCUCCUCCAGAGUCUAUAACCAACCUUUCUGAUUUACCUCACAAUAGAAAUUCUAUAUGGUCCAGAUCCAUUAUUGAGUUCUUGUCUUCUCGUUUGAAUUCAGUUUCUUCGGAUUGCAGCAAUUCCGGCCUGAAAUUUUACAUAGGCAUGUCGAGAUCUGCAUUCCAAGACCCCCAGAUCUAGAAUGUUAUGGUGCAUUCUGGCAUUCUCCUACGCAUCUAAUGUGUUCUGCAUUUUUUGUUCCCCACCAGGGUUCCUACCUAGAUACUUACAUGAAAACUAGUGUGUUUGGUGUGUCAUCCCUUUUGUUUUUUUCCUUGAGCUUUAAGGUUUUGGGUGUUCCAGUUUUUGGUCUUGAUUUAUCAUUUGUACAGAACCUGUUAUAUAAUCCCUAGUCAUUCAGAGUGUAAUUAUACAUCGGCAACUCGCCUAUAUCCGACCUAGGAUUGAUGAUGAAAGAUAUAGAGGAAAGAGAAAGAA